AUGAAGCGAGAAGUCGACGCGCCGAUUUUCGGCGUCCGGCCCUCCGCAAGCGCCCGCGGGAGUCUGGGUUCCGGACCUGGUCCGAUCCCGUUCCCUCCGUGGGGCUGUUUGCGAUCAGGAGGUGUCCUCGGACGGCGUCGUUUGUCUCCAGUCCGCGACGCUACGGCUUGGAUGGCCUACCCGACCCGUCUUGAAACACGGACCAAGGAGUCUAACAUGCGCGCGAGUCGUUGGGUCGGACGCGCUCCGCUAAACCCAUAGGCGUAAUGAAAGUGAAGGCCCCUCUUGGGUGCCGAGGGAGGACGGAGCCGCUCCCCUCUGCGGGACGGUUCCCGCACUCCCGGGGCGUCUGAUUCCUCAUUGCGAGGGAAGGCGCACCCAGAGCGCACACGUUGGGACCCGAAAGAUGGUGAACUAUGCCUGGCCAGGACGAAGUCAGGGGAAACCCUGAUGGAGGUCCGUAGCGAUUCUGACGUGCAAAUCGAUCGUCGGAGCUGGGGAUAGGGGCGAAAGACUAAUCGAACCAUCUAGUAGCUGGUUCCCUCCGAAGUUUCCCUCAGGAUAGCUUGCGCUCGGAGGAGAGUCUCAUCCGGUAAAGCGAAUGAUUAGAGGCCUUGGGGCCGAAACGGCUUCAACCUAUUCUCAAACUUUAAAUGGGUGAGAACUCCGGCUUGCUCGAUCAAUUUUUCUAUGAAGCCGGAGUCGGGGCCACGAGCCCUCAGGAUCGGAGUGCAUAGUGGGCCACUUUUGGUAAGCAGAACUGGCGCUGUGGGAUGAACCAAACGACGGGUUAAGGCGCCCGAAUCGACGCUCAUGGGAAACCAUGAAAGGUGUUGGUUGCUUAAGACAGCAGGACGGUGGCCAUGGAAGUCGGAAUCCGCUAAGGAGUGUGUAACAACUCACCUGCCGAAGCAACUAGCCCUGAAAAUGGAUGGCGCUGAAGCGUCGUGCCUAUACCCGGCCGUCGCCGCAGGGCGGGCCCCGUGAGGGGUGCCGCUUGACGCGGCGACGAGUAGGAGGGUCGCGGCGGCGUGCGCAGAAGGGUCUGGGCUCGAGCCUACCUGGAGCCGCCGCCGGUGCAGAUCUUGGUGGUAGUAGCAAAUACUCCAGCGAGGCCCUGGAGGACUGAUGUGGAGAAGGGUUUCGUGUGAACAGCCGUUGCACACGAGUCAGUCGAUCCUAAGCCCUAGGAGAAAUCCGAUACUAACGGCGAUGGGACGAACGAAAUCACAGAGACAACAGCCCAUUGAUCGGGCGAAAGGGAAUCCGGUUCCUAUUCCGGAACCCGGCAGCGGAACCGCUGUUUGUCGGGCCCUCACAAGGGGUUCGUCAGGGUAACCUAAAAGGGCCCGGAGACGCCGUCGGGAGCCCCGGAAAGAGUUUUCUUUUCUGCAUGAGCGUUCGAGUUCCCUG
rnacentral:rRNA from 1 species